UCGCCAAUGAACUCGUAUAAGAUGAGUCGUUUUUAAGCUAUUUAAAGCACUUGUAGUCGUGUUUUAUCACAUAUAAAACACUCCGCUACGCGUCGUGUUUUAUAUGUGAUAAAACACUCCUACGCGUGCUUUAAAUAGUACUUCAAAAACUCAUUAAUAAUUCAGGAGGAAAACACAAAGAAAAAUCAUAAGCGUGUCGUGGUUUUAUAUGUGAUAAAAAAUCAUGUUAAUUUACAUAAACUGUAGCUUUGAUUUUCUCGGUUUAGACAAAGCUUAUUUUAAAAAUUACUUCGCCAAUGAACUUGUAUAAGAUGAGUCGUUUUUGAAGCUAUUUAAAGCACUUGUAGUCGUGUUUUAUCACAUAUAAAACACUCCGCUACGCGUCGUGUUUUAUAUGUGAUAAAACACUCCUACGCGUGCUUUAAAUAGUACAU